CCAAAACAAAACAGGACACAACACUUGAAACUCAGAAUCGUGACAGGAGCAGUUGGUUGAGUCGAGAUGAAAGGUGAUCUGAAGAGCCGUUUGUCCAUUUGGGCUACUGUGGAAACAUGUUGACGUUCAUGUAAGGGGACCCGCAGUGUCUGUUGAUAGAAAUGGCUCAUUCAUAAGCCACGCCCCCUGAUGAACUGAUCAAGGUUUUGGCUCUCAACUCGUCAUCCUCUGAGUACGUCGCUGGAGCUGGAGCGAGCCCAGCUGACCGGAGGAUUAUUAUGCCAUGCUCUGCUGUUAAUUGUACAACAGACUGCCCAAGAAGCCACUGCUCCAGUUGUGCAGAGUUCUGCACAACAGUCUGCCUGCAACUCCAAUGAUCGGUUCUUGUUGAGGUCAUGAAUCCUCCACCAGGUCUGCUACACACAGCUUCAAUUUGUGGAUCAUCUGUCCCACCUAAUGCCCAGAGAGCUGCAGAGACCCAGGAAGCAUCCUCAGUGCGCUGGAAGUCUGUAGGCUUGACUGGACAGGCGCGGAAAGGCCUUCUCUCCUUCUGAGAUAUAUAUAUAUAUAUGAUAACUAGUCUUUACACCCAUUACCAGAGCCUGAGAAGUUUUUAAAGAGUGCCUUGUUUGCUGCUCUGAUAUAACUCUAGUUUAAACACAAAAGAAUGUGCACACAUCCAAACUAACCUGUGGGUAAUAGCUGAAACCAAGAAUGACCUUCACAGAGUAAUUAUUAAUCCUAAGUGGUAUCAUUAAUUGUGAUGUUUCAAACUGAGCUCUCAGAGCGGAUCAAAUGCACCUGUGGGAAAUAGGUGCAAUACCCACAAGAUCUUUUUAACUAUUCAGUGGGCAGAUAAUUCUUUGUUGUCCACAUACAGUUACUUUUCAGUCACAUUUGUUUCAAAUAAAUUUCCAAAUAAAAACCAAUAUAUGGUACAUAA